UGCUUCAAUGUAUCAUUUCCCUUGCCUUAUCUAUUCUUCUGGCAGAAUGUGGCAUAUGCUCGAGUUCCUCAGUUCAGACUCCUUCUGCUGAGUUGAUUGUGCAUGCCGCAUUUCCUUAUUUGUUCUCCAGGCAGAUGUGGCAUCUUCUCGAGUUCCUCAGCUCAGACUCCUUCUGCUGAGUUGACUGUGCAGGCCGCAUUCUUCUCUGCUUGUUCCUUCUGCACGUUGUCUCCACAUGCUGCA
rnacentral:lncRNA from 1 species